rnacentral:rRNA from 1 species
UACGAAGGGGGCUAGCGUUGCUCGGAAUCACUGGGCGUAAAGGGUGCGUAGGCGGGUCUUUAAGUCAGAGGUGAAAUCCUGGAGCUCAACUCCAGAACUGCCUUUGAUACUGAGGAUCUUGAGUUCGGGAGAGGUGAGUGGAACUGCGAGUGUAGAGGUGAAAUUCGUAGAUAUUCGCAAGAACACCAGUGGCGAAGGCGGGUCUCUGGGCCGUUACUGACGCUGAGGAGCGAAAGCGUGGGGAGCGAACAGG